rnacentral:rRNA from 1 species
UACGUAGGAGGCAAGCGUUGUCCGGAUUUACUGGGUGUAAAGGGUCCGCAGGCGGAGAUUUAAGUCGGUGGUGAAAUCCUUCAGCUUAACUGAAGAACUGCCUCCGAUACUGAAUAUCUUGAAUAUAGGAGAGGGUGACGGAAUUCCAGGUGUAGCGGUGAAAUGCUUAGAUAUCUGGAAGAACACCGGUUGCGAAGGCUGUUGCCUGGCCUAUUAUUGACGCUCAGGGACGAAAGCGUGGGGAUCAAACAGG